GGAGUUGUAGCUCAAAUGGUAAGAGCGCUCGCGUCUCACGCGAGAGGUACUGGGUUCGAUUCCCAGUCUCCUCCG
rnacentral:tRNA from 1 species